rnacentral:rRNA from 1 species
CGUGGGGUGCAAGCGUUAAUCGGAAUUACUGGGCGUAAAGCGUGCGCAGGCGGUGAUGUAAGACAGAUGUGAAAUCCCCGGGCUCAACCUGGGAACUGCAUUUGUGACUGCAUCGCUGGAGUGCGGCAGAGGGGGAUGGAAUUCCGCGUGUAGCGGUGAAAUGCGUAGAUAUUGGGAGGAACACCAGUGGCGAAGGCGGCUCACUGGACUGGUACUGACGCUGAGGCGCGAAAGCGUGGGGAGCAAACGGGA